UGACCUACAGAUGGGGAUCCAAACUCGCUCGACGAGUUUCUGUUCGACGGGCCGGCGGCGCCGAUGCUGAUUGACGACGACGACGAUGAGGACUUGGUCGACUAGCUAGCUACUAUCCCGCGAUAAUAAUCUAAACUGAGACAGUAAACCAUGGUGUGAUGGUUCACAGUAUAGCACUAUAGCAUGCAUGCUUGUCUGAGAAAUCCUGCAUCUCAUGGUUUAAUUUCAUGACUCAAUCUAUGGCAC
rnacentral:lncRNA from 1 species